UACGUAGGGGGCAAGCGUUGUCCGGAAUCAUUGGGCGUAAAGAGCGUGUAGGCGGCCAGAUAAGUCCGCUGUGAAAACUCGAGGCUCAACUUCGAGCUGUCGGUGGAAACUUUCUGGCUAGAGUCCGGAAGAGGAGAAUGGAAUUCCUGGUGUAGCGGUGAAAUGCGCAGAUAUCAGGAAGAACACCCGUGGCGAAGGCGGUUCUCUGGGACGGUACUGACGCUGAGACGCGAAAGCGUGGGGAGCGAACAGG
rnacentral:rRNA from 1 species